rnacentral:rRNA from 1 species
GGGGAAUUUUUGCAAUGGGCGAAAGCCUGACGGAGCAAUACCGCGUGAGGGAGGAAGGCUCUUGGGUCGUAAACCUCUUUUCUCAGGGAAGAACACAAUGACGGUACCUGAGGAAUAAGCAUCGGCUAACUCCGUGCCAGCAGCCGCGGUAAUACGGAGGAUGCAAGCGUUAUCCGGAAUGAUUGGGCGUAAAGCGUCCGCAGGUGGCGAUGUAAGUCUGCUGUUAAAGCGUCUAGCUCAACUAGAUAAGAGCAGUGGAAACUACUUACGCUAGAGUGCGUUCGGGGCAGAGGGAAUUCCUGGUGUAGCGGUGAAAUGCGUAGAGAUCAGGAAGAACACCAGUGGCGAAGGCGCUCUGCUAGGCCGCAACUGACACUGAGGGACGAAAGCUAGGGGAGCGAAUGGGAUUAGAUACCCCAGUAGUCAA